GACGAACGCUGGCGGCGUGCUUAACACAUGCAAGUCGAACGGAAAGGCCCUGCUUCUGUGGGGUGCUCGAGUGGCGAACGGGUGAGUAACACGUGAGUAACCUGCCCUUGACUUUGGGAUAACUUCGGGAAACUGGGGCUAAUACCGGAUAGGAGCUCCUGCUGCAUGGUGGGGGUUGGAAAGUUUCGGCGGUUGGGGAUGGACUCGCGGCUUAUCAGCUUGUUGGUGGGGUAGUGGCUUACCAAGGCUUUGACGGGUAGCCGGCCUGAGAGGGUGACCGGCCACAUUGGGACUGAGAUACGGCCCAGACUCCUACGGGAGGCAGCAGUGGGGAAUAUUGCACAAUGGGCGGAAGCCUGAUGCAGCAACGCCGCGUGCGGGAUGACGGCCUUCGGGUUGUAAACCGCUUUCGCCUGUGACGAAGCGUGAGUGACGGUAAUGGGUAAAGAAGCACCGGCUAACUACGUG
rnacentral:rRNA from 1 species